GUGCCAGCAGCCCGCGGUAAUACGUAGGUGGCGAGCGUUAUCCGGAAUUAUUGGGCGUAAAGAGCGCGCAGGUGGUUGAUUAAGUCUGAUGUGAAAGCCCAUGGCUUAACCGUGGAGGGUCAUUGGAAACUGGUCGACUUGAGUGCAGAAGAGGGAAGUGGAAUUCCAUGUGUAGCGGUGAAAUGCGUAGAGAUAUGGAGGAACACCAGUGGCGAAGGCGGCUUCCUGGUCUGUAACUGACACUGAGGCGCGAAAGCGUGGGGAGCAAACAGG
rnacentral:rRNA from 1 species